GGGCCCGCACAAGCGGUGGAGCAUGUGGUUUAAUUCGAUGAUACGCGAGGAACCUUACCAGGACUUAAAUGUAAGUUGCAUGAUUCAGAAAUGAAUCUUUCUUCGGACUACUUACAAGGUGCUGCAUGGUUGUCGUCAGCUCGUGCCGUGAGGUGUCAGGUUAAGUCCUAUAACGAGCGCAACCCCUAUCGUUAGUUGCCAUCAAGUAAAGUUGGGAACUCUAGCGAAACUGCCGGUGCAAACCGAGAGGAAGGUGGGGAUGACGUCAAAUCAUCACGGCCCUUACGUUCUGGGGCUACACACGUGCUACAAUGGUCGGUACAGAAAGCAGCCACUAUGCGAAUAGGAG
rnacentral:rRNA from 1 species